rnacentral:lncRNA from 1 species
GGCUCUACAACUUCACCGGCAUGGAGAACCCCAGCGACAUCGACCCCACGCUGGAGCCGCAGUACAUGAUGCGGCUAAAGAGCAAGUGUGCCAGCCUCAACGACAACACCACCCUCGUGGAGAUGGACCCCGGCAGCUUCAAGACCUUCGACACCGACUACUUCAAGCUGGUGAGCAAGCGGAGGGGCCUCUUCCACUCCGACGGCGCCCUCCUCACCGACCCCUUCACCCGCGCCUACGUCCAGCGCCAUGCCACCGGCGCCUUCAAGGACGAGUUCUUCGCCGACUUCGCCGCCUCCAUGAUCAAGAUGGGCAACGCCAACCCGCUCACCGGAAGCCAAGGUGAGAUCAGGAAGAAGUGCAGCGUGGUCAACCAUUAAACCACCGACGAAAUACAAGGCUGUUUUGACUUGUAACAUCCUUUUUCCUUGUAAAUUACUGUUAGAUUGUUAUAGCUCCUUUCUCUCCCAAAUCUUUUUCUUUCAUUAAUUUAUUGUUUCGUUACAACCAUGUUAGUUCCUUGUACACACACUUUGGUAUUGCCACCUCCGACAUGUCGUCCAUUGUCAUCUGGAGAUUAUUCAUGUCACGGUUACUAGUUUUGUCUAAGUUUGUCUUUGUUUUAUUUUAGAUUGUUACAUAAUGUUUUGUUGUGAUAUUUGUUUUACCUCAGAGCAUAUCAUAAUGUUUCACAUGUACAAGUAAAAAGAAGAGUUACUGUCAGAUUAUCUUUAUUUAGUUAUUUGGGGCAGGAUGGCUAGCAACCAUCAAAUUUUGCAGCAUUGACUGUUGGCACUGCCGUGCAUUUGGUCUCUUCUUGUUAGAAAGUUUAUCUUUAUGUUUAGUUGUGUAUCUGUGAACACCAAGUGCACAAGCACGAAGAACGAUAGAUCCAAGGUAUACUACCUUGGUCUAGGUGUAUAUGUCAUGUCAUUGAAAGCAUACAUGUCUUACAUUUUUUAUUGGAUGAUUCCAUUAUUUAUGUCAAGAAAUAAGAAACGAUGUGGAAGUUAAUGCACCGUGCCUAAGUGUUUUUAGAUUAUUUGGUUUUCCUAAGGUGACUUAUACACCUAGACGCGGAGUCAUUAAGAAAAAAAAUUCAGAAUUUUAUUAAUAUUUUUACUAUUUUUUUGAUUUUACUGUUCAUUAGGGUGCAUUUGAGCUCAUGUCUAGAUACUUCGUGUCCUCUUUUCAAGGCGUUUAUAGACCUUAGAAUACGAGGCCUCCUUAAUUUUCCUCCUCCACAAGAGCAGUGAUGGUCGAAGUAAAAAAAAUCCUAUAAAAAGUGUCCGGUGGUAGCUUNNNNNNNNNNNNNNNNNNNNNNNNNNNNNNNNNNNNNNNNNNNNNNNNNNNNNNNNNNNNNNNNNNNNNNNNNNNNNNNNNNNNNNNNNNNNNNNNNNNNNNNNNNNNNNNNNNNNNNNNAUUCUUAUGGGGGGGUGGGGGGGGGUGGAUUUCAUAUCAAGUGUGGUGUGAAGAGAUCUCCUCUUAGUUGUGCUGGAAAAGACGACGCCGAAAGGCGCAUAGACACCCUUAGGUGCUAGGCAACGACCAAACGACUCGUCUAGGACAUAAGAGGAACUCUAGGCAUGCAAAAGAAAAAUUAUCUACUCAAAUGAGAUAUCAUGAUACAUUGCAUAGAUGGCCCAAAUGGGCCUAGGCUAUAUUCUAAAGGCUAGACAUGGUAGUUUACACAUUUAUAUGCUCUAAAUUAAUAUUGAUACACAUAUAUUACCUCAAAUACACCCUAAUAGCCAAAACUAUACAUGCACCUAGGCUACGCCUAAGGAGCUUAAGCACCACUUAGGUGCUAGGAGAAGGCCCAACUCCUCGUUUAUGCCUAGAGCUUUCUCCAACCUUGCCUCUCGGUGAAAAAUUAUCUCACCUCUUGUCGAUGCAAGAGGUUCUCUAUGAGAUCUUGUUGAUCAAUGGAAUUCUUGUUCACCCUUCUUGAUGGUUUUACCUUGAUAUCCUUUACUAGAAGAGUAGGGCUUUCAUGUUUUAGUGGAAUAGAGCUUAUACUAAAUUUGAUGUCUAACACGAUCUUUGUAUACACCUUCUUAUGUUGUUUUUUCACUACUACCACAGAAGUGCAUGUAUUUCUUUUGAAGUUUAAUGUUUUUCUCAUAUAUUUAAUUGCGUUAAGGGCUAAAAUAUAGAAAAAAUCAUUUUUAGGUUGGUUAGGGAUCAAAGAGACAAGGAGACAAGAUGAGGAAUAGGACAAAAGCCAACUCAUGACGACCUCUAGGGAGUCCAUGCAAUUGGCCCAUGUGUCCAACCUUGUUGUGUGGGUUCAUUGCAUGACCCACAUAGUACCCCCACCCCACCCCCGCCCAACCGCGCUUGAUCGUCUGAGGGCUUUUCCUUCACCCCUAUAUCUCCAUCAUCUAUUUAUUUCAAUUAUUUAGCGAUGGUUGUACACUAAAUCUUUAUUUGCAUGAGAUAUAUGAGGAUAACAAUAGAUCCAAUCUCUCAAAAGGCUUUCUCUCGAUCCAAUCUAGAUUAGCCAACUCAAAUAAAUAGAUGUACUAUGCACUCUCAUGAUUACACUUGAGUGGUGUCCUUUUGCGGCUACCAUUUUUGCAGUAGUAACUGUGCAGCUGCUCUCUCUCUCUCUCCCCCAUGACUUCCCUAAAGGCAUUUAUUAUCACAUAAUAUGUCUAUUCGGAACUCCCAAUUCAAGUACUUUCUCUCUAAAUGUUUCAAUAGAAGAAAAGUCAUAGGUUUUGGAUGCUCGAAAUAAGCUCAUCACAACCCCUUUUUUUCUAAACACAUGGUGAGCGAAGUUGUAUUAAUUAUAAAGCACCUGGAUUGGAUGAAUUCUCAACCGAAUCUAUCAAACCUUCUAGGAGUCAUGGAGUUAUCUGAAACCCUCCAUGUUGAUCACCCUGAGCUUUCAAGACUAUUCUUUGUGCAAUUGUUUUGUCAGCAGUAAUCUUGAUCACGGCCUCAUGCAGCGACCUGGCCGAGUCACGUUCGUGUGUGAGUAGCGACCGGGAUUCCAUCUACAUGCAUGGCUGGUUAGUUAGUGGGCUAGCUACAAGGCUGGGUGUGAGCGAUUCUAGUAUGCAUGCUAGCUGAGUUGGUUAGUGCAUGGAGGUGUGGCGUCGUGGUAGUUAGUAAGUGCUGUUAGUGGCCGAUGGAGGCGGCUAGGCUGUGUGUGGCCUUGCAUGUUUAAGUGGCUGGUGGUGUGUGUGUGGCAGAGUUCGAGCACGCCGGAAAUACAAGGGGUUGUUCGUGCGGCCGGAGGCGUUUGUGCGCCGGGAAACCUCGUGUCCUCUCUCUCUCUCUUGUUUCUUCCUUGUCUCCGGUGAUCGCCGUGGUUCAGUGAGUAGGCUAGACACCAACAAUUGGUAUUAGAAGUGUUGGCCGGAAUAAGCCGCGGCGACGGGUCGGACGCGUCGGGCGCGUGUAUGGGCGCGCGCCGGGCGUGUCGGGCACGUCGGGUCCGCGGCGGGGUCGUGUGCGUGUGUUGGUUAGCGAGAAGUGCGGGAGGGUGACUGCGCUGGGCGCUGGACCCGGUCGCGUCCGGUCGUGUGUGUGCGCGGCGGGCGCGGGAGCCGUGGAGCGCGGAGCGUGGCGAGUGGGGUGAGUGGGCGCGCUGUAGGCGCGGCGUGGCACGCGUACGCGCGCGUGUAUAAGGUCUUCCCCGGCCUGUGUAGCUCGCAGUGGUGUGGCUGAGUUCAUGCUCAGGAAAAUCCAUCGGCUGUUCGUGCGGCUGGCGGCGUUCGUGUGCCGGAAAAAACACCACCAUGUCAUCUCUGUGCUCGUGUUCUUCUCCACCUCCUUCUUCUUCGUUGGUUCGUGCCACGACAAGUGAGGGAGAGCAGAAAGAGUGCCCGGGGGAGCUAGAGAGACGGAGCUACGGCAACAACAAUUGGUAUCAGAGCUAUCGGGUUCAGGGCGGCGUGGCGUGCGGCGGCGUCCGCGGUACGCGUGGCGAGCGCGGCCGACAUGGAGGCUUCGGCUGAGGUGCGUAGCGAGUCGAGCAGCGGCGGUCGCGGAGGCGAGGAGGCCGCAAAGGCUCGGCGCAACGGCCGUGGAGGCGUAGUGGCGCGUGGCACCGAGACGCGGCACGGCGGCGCACAGAGCUCUGGGCUUCGGCAGCGGCAGCGAGCGGCGGCGGCUCGUGCCGGAGGCGCAACAGAGGCUUCCAUGGCGCCGAGACGACGACGAGGAGGCAGGGCGGCACGGUGGCAGGCGCGGCAGCGACGUCAGGGCGGUGGCGGGUACAACGACGACGACGACAACGGCGCGGCGGAGCGCGCGCUGCUGGCGGACGGCGGCAUCGAGGACGUCGGUCUCCUCUAAGCCGCGGCUUAGGGGAUGAGUGUUGGCCGGAAUAAGCCGCGGCGACGGGUCGGACGCGUCGGGCGCAUGUAUGGGCGCGCGCCGGGCGUGUCGGGCACGUCGGGUCCGCGGCGGGGUCGUGUGCGUGUGUUGGUUAGCGAGAAGUGCGGGAGGGUGAUUGCGCAGGGCGCUGGACCCGGUCGCGUCCGGUUGUGUGUGUGCGCGGCGGGCGCGGGAGCCGUGGAGCGCGGAGCGUGGCGAGUGGGGUGAGUGGGCGCGCUGUAGGCGCGGCGUGGCACGCGUGCGCGCGUGUAUAAGGUCUUCCCCGGCCUGUGUAGCUCGCAGUGGUGUGGCUGAGUUCGUGCUCAGGAAAAUCCAUCGGCUGUUCGUGCGGCUGGCGGCGUUCGUGCGCCGGAAAAAACAACACCAUGUCAUCUCUGUGCUCGUGUUCUUCUCCACCUCCUUCUUCUUCGUUGGUUCGUGCCACGGCAAGUGAGGGAGAGUAGAGAGAGUGCCCGGGGGAGCUAGAGAGACGGAGCUACGGCAACAACAUGUUUUACUUCCCACGACUAAAGAGGAUAAUCAAUUUCCAUUGUACAUAUUGACAUGCCUUCUUAACGUAUUGACCAUAUGCCUUAAUUAGUAACUUGAUAGCUUCUUAAUUAUGUCGUUUCUCUCUCUCAUGUGCAGAGUCUAAAUCAGAAGUUUAACUCAUACUCAAAAAUCUUGAUAUUUUCUGUAAUGCAAAAAUGUAAGUUUUUGAUCGAAGUACUUAAAUUUUCAAACACAAUAAAUAGUUUUAGAUUUUAAAAUCCUAUAGAGCACAAAUCAACACAUUAUCAUACCUUACACAGUUGUGAAUCCUUAAAAAAUAGUUCAAUUGAAAGUACAUAAUUGUACACAUCUUAAAGCUAACAAAUAAAGUUUAUUCAAAUCUAAACUCAUUCUUUAGUCAUAUGUUGAUACGUUGACACUACUAAAUAACGCAUAGUCAUACCAAUACCAACAUAGAUGCUCAUAACAUAUAUUAAAUAUCCAAAUUGAUGAUAAAAAACUUGUGUUGUGGCAAAAUGCAAUCAUACCUACAAGCUAACUGUUUCAAUGAUGUGUCACCUUAUCAUGUGUGCCUUUAGCUCUUUGCCAAAGUUCCUUAUCCACAGUUUCACUUCUCUCACCAAAAGCGCGGAUACAUAUGAGUCAAAUUUCGUGCCUAAUACAAGUUUCUCGAGGUAAAACUACGAGGAAACAGUGUGGAAGAACAACAAAUACAGCUACCUAGGGUUGAAUCUUUGGUUACCAGCUGCCAUCCCAAGACGAAGAAGAAUUCUGGUCUGUGAUCUGGUUGUCUGGUUGUAUUUCUUUUUAGUUUGAGACCAAGGGGAGCGGACGGUUUUUACGAGGUAGUGGGCUCCCUGUUAAUAAAUAUCUUAUUUGGACAUGACCACAUCGCAGAACCUUACUAUUUCCGCACAUUUUGUUACUAUCUCCCUCUAUACGGAAUAGACCUAACUCUUAGCACUACAAGAAAUAUGCCAACUUGCGACCAUCACUAUUGGUCACUUGUGACCAAAAACUGAAGGUCAAAAGCUGGCGGUCGUAAACUGAAAUUAACGACCUUCUUCGUGAUAUGUAAAAGGUCGUUGGUUCUUUGACAAAAUUUUUGGUCACUAGCAGCCUCCCCAGGCCACGUAGGAUCGAGCGUGGCAAGUUGACGUGGAUAAGAAUCAGCCCGGUCCAAUUGGGUGUCUAUAUGGGCCGAGCCCAUUAAUUCAGCCUUUUUAAUAUAUAUUUUUUCUGUUAAUUUUCGCUAGCUACAUGGGCCUGGCCAAGUAAUUCGGCCUCUUUUAUUUCUCUGAAAUUUGACAUUCAAUUUCUUGUUGGGCCACGCCCUUUUACAGUCUAGUAUUUUUUUUGGCCCAAGGCCUUUUACAGUCCUGUUUUUUUUUUGCCUCGUCCUUUUAUAGUCUAGUUUUUUGGCACUCAGCCAUUGCCUUUUAAUUUAGGACUCGUCAUUUUCAGUCAAUUUCCAGUUCAAAUAUAGGCUAUAAAUGCAGAAUAUUUCUCAAUACAGCCAAACUUGGUACAUUACAAUAAUAGUACAUAGUAUCAAGUUUUCUAAUACACAAAAGAUCAAACAAUAACAAGCUCCAGUGAGGUACUCUUUGCUGGGUGCGGAUUCUAGCUUCUUAAUCAUGGGACUUGUUGCAGCAGUCAGCACUUCAAUGAACAAAGGACGUCUACUGGUUAUAAACAGAACAAUUAGGAACAAAAUAAAAACAGAACAUUCUGCAUUUGGUGAGAAAAUGGUUAGAGCAAAGAGGAGCUUUAGCAACAGAGCAAACCAAAUCAAAUCGAACACAAACCGAUAUUUGCAGACGAAUAUUUUUGUUUAACUCAUUUACUGUUGCUCCUUUUAAUUUUUAGGACUACAUAUUCUGAAUCUACUAGAACUAGAUACCUACUGAUUAGUAAAUAAAGCUGAGUUAUACUAGUAGUGGUGUUGCUCAAUUGCCACUGUUCUUAUCAUAUUUACUCCAUAACAACUAACAUGAACAUGCCAAUUGAUUAAAACCUAAGCCGUGUAAAUUUCAGAACAACAACCAAACUUAAGCCAUGAUGAUAGACAGUGAGAAAAUCAACUAAACUUCAAAGGAGUGCUAACCAAGAACCCUUUAAUUAACCCUAGCAUUUCAUCAACACCCCCAGCCAAAUAGGAGCAUGAGCAGGACAGUAGCUACUACCCAGUAUAACAGCAAAAUGGCGUAAUCAUACAACUUGUAAGAGAUGGACACAGGGAUGGUAAGGAAAUAUCAGAUGAGGGGAGGGGAGGGUGCAGACGCUUGUACUCAUUGCCAAGCUGAACGAUCAGCUUCACUAUGACAGGUUUGAGGACCCUCGUCGCCACGUUGACGAGAGCCGCCUCCAUGGUCAUGCUAGCUCAGAGCUGAGCCAGUCAACCGUGCGUGGAGCCGUGGAGGUCAGGUUGUUGAAUGCACUGACAGUAAAUAGCUAGCUCCAAAUUGACAAUCUGAAAAGAGGAUUGGUUAGUACACUGAAAAUAGUAAAUAGCCAGCUCCGAAGUUAAGGUACUGGCAGAAAACAUUAUUAGAAGCACAACUAAUGAUUCAUCAAGCAAAAGGAAACAUUUCAAAGAUACCAGUUGGGCGUCAAAUCUAGCAGAAGGAAACAUUUCAAAAAUACAAGCUGGGCGUCAAAUUUGAAUGAAGCGAUGUAAGUAUAUCUACAACCAGAAUGGCAGAUGCCAGUGAAUGGUGGAUGCCAAACAUAAAGACACAUUGGAAUAUAUUUCUAAUUUGACCAUAAAUAGGCAUGAAUAAUAAGCUCUACAGGCACUCCCCAAGAGAAGUACACGCAAUAGGUUUUGUUUUAUAGUUAUCUACAAUACAGUUAUCGGUUUGCAAUAUACUAUUUAUAUCUAGAACCAGAAUAGUCACUUGAGUAGGGAUGCAACUUUGUGCCGCUUAGAGUACCCUCUCAACCUCCUUAGUUUAUCCAAAUAAACUAAAUUUUUAAAAGUUAUGUGACUUCUGAAAGUUCAGUUCAUUUAGUUGAAAUAAAGAGGGUCACAGAAUACCCUAAAGGGUGCCCAUUUGCACUCCUACACUCGAACACACACACACACACACACACACACACACACACUAUGGAUACUUUUGAGAUGCACAUGCACAUUCAGUAAAUUCAGUGAAAUUCAAUAUACAUGGAGUACAGAAGAGAGGUUCAGACUUCAGACCCAGGCUGUAGGCGCUGGUGACAGAGAUGAUCUAGGCUGUAGGAUUUGGAGAUGAGCUGCAGCAGUGGAGAAAACUUGUAGCCGCCGCCACUGCUGCCAGGUAAGCAGGCACGACCCACUAGACAGCCCAGCCACGGUGUCACAGUAGCAGCAGCAGGUGUUCAAUUAGUCAAGCAGCAAGCCACAUGAUUUGUGCUCUUUUAAAACUUUAUGCUCCGCCUACCUAAACACACAUCACCAUUUAUGAUAACAUAAGCAAAGCAUGAUAGAAAGUAACCAACCAAUUGAAAAGAACAUAUACAUUGAUUUUCUUCAAAUUCAAAACUAUGCCUUCUAAGCUUGGUAGCUCUUCCUAAUCAAAAUUCUUGAUGACAUCUCAAUGCACAACAAGGUUGUAGUUAAUAACUUCUUAUUUAUCAUGUAUUGUCCAAAGUUACAUGAUGAAAGACAUAAAUGAGCAGGACUGUAAUUUAUAAUCCUCGGUUCAUUUAGCCAAACUUCAAUCCAGUAUACUUUGUUCCAUUGAUAGCUAAGGCAUUUUUUAAGAAUCCUAACUGACCCUCAAUCAUCCAUUGUACGAUGGCAUGAAACAGAGCAUCGAUAGAGAGGAAGGAGAGGAGCAGUAGUAGCUCACUGUGGUGGUUUGUGUGACCGAUGUUGAACAGGACCUCCUGUCCUCCAUGGCUAGCAACCACCACGCACCUUUCCUGGCUGGUAUGAUGAAGUGAAGCCCUUCUACUCUGCUGUAGGGAUGAAAACUUCCCCUGCACAAGGACAGGAGAAAUAUGAAUCAACUACACAUACCUAGAUGAACAGAAUCAACAUCACUUGCAUCCCAAAACUAUGUUACUACCUCAGAAACAUCAAAUAACACAUUUGGCCGAGUGGGAGAAGGGGUUACCUUGAGGAAGUCAGCCAUGGCGUGACUGGGAGGGCCGGGCCUCCCGGCGAGGCCGUGGGGAGGUCAGACGGACGGCGACCGCGGCGAAAGGUGAGCGGGUUGGCAAUAUAGUAGAAGCCCGUGACGCAGCCGCGGAGGCAGACGAGGCUGCGCGACGAGGCGCGGAUCCAACUCGACGACGGCGUGGAUCCGGAAGGCCCGCUGUGGCAGUGGAGGCUCGACGAGACGCGCAUCCAGCUCGAUGAGGCGCGGAUCCAGCUCGACGACGGCGUGGAUCUGGCGCCAAGGGAGAGAGGGACGCGGUGGUCGGAGAGCGAUGCGGAGAUUGCGGAGGCGAGGGAGGAGGCGGCGGUGGCGAUGAGGUGGUCGCGGAGCGGGUGGUCGGCGGGGAAGGUGAGGAGCGAGGCGAUGAGGAGCGGCUUGAGGUGGGAUCUGGCGCCGUAGGUGGCGGCGGUCCGACGGGAGGGGUUAGGGUUUGGGCUGCGGGUCGUGGGGGGAGGANNNNNNNNNNNNNNNNNNNNNNNNNNNNNNNNNNNNNNNNNNNNNNNNNNNNNNNNNNNNNNNNNNNNNNNNNNNNNNNNNNNNNNNNNNNNNNNNNNNNNNNNNNNNNNNNNNNNNNNNNNNNNNNNNNNNNNNNNNNNNNNNNNNNNNNNNNNNNNNNNNNNNNNNNNNNNNNNNNNNNNNNNNNNNNNNGGGGGAGGAGUGGUGUGUGGGGGAGAGGGGGAGAGGGGGAGGAGUGGUGUGCAGUGGGUGAGUGGUGUGCGGGGGGGAGGGAGGCAUUCGGCCACUGACAGGUGGGCCCACGAGGAAUUAGGCCCAUAUGUUAGUUCCCUCAAUGCCAUGUGGUAUACGUGAGGGGAGCUACUUUCGGCUGGGUGUGGGUGGGGAAGAGGGUGAGGGGUGUGGGCCGUUGGAUCUGGCAGUAUCCGGCGGUCUCUAAUGCUUGAUCCACGUGACAUGCCUAUAGACCAAUCAGAACGAAGUGCAGGCUUUGAUGAAGUUAUGACUAUCUAAAAUGGUCAUAAUUGAUUAACAAUAGGCACUACCAACGCAGCACCACGGCGGCCGGCGAAGCUCCAUUGCAGGGUGAGCUCCAACGCAGCACCACGACGCCCGGUGGUAAAUUUUCUUCUCUUUUUAUGACAAUGUUUGUUAAAUUUCCAAAUAAUUAGUAGUGUUAUUCCUCGAAUAACAAAAAUCAAUUUUCCAUUUUUGGAGUGCCCAAAAUGAGUUUUUUUGUGAAGGACCUACCAUGUAUUUGUUGCAAAAUUGGACCAAAUCAAUUUUCUAAAAUAUUAGGCCAUAUUUAAUGCAUAAUUGACCAAAUGGUUGGGUGUCAAAAGAUUUGAUCCACCUCUCAUGAAAAAGACAAAUUUCAGUCGAUUCAGCAGGAAGCGGGUCAAAUUUGAACUGCAGCUGCCUCAUAGUUUGCUAUAGAUUUUUUCCAAAAAUAAUUUCUAGGUACAUAAGUAUCUAUUUAAUCAGAGAAAGACCAAAAGUUUUUCAAGAUUCAACCACUAGCUAGGAACGGUCAUGCUCGCCGUUUUGACCGCAUUUUGAAACGGGCAUGAAAAUUUCGAAAAAAAAUCAAAAAAUUGGAAAACCUUCGCAUUGUGUCAUUAUAUGUGGCCAAGUUACCAGCAAAAACAAUAAAUUUGUAAUAUGUCAAUUAUUUUAAAAAAGUGUUCUCAGAAACGAGCUAUCAUGUGUGGAGAUCAAUGGCUUUCAAGCCAAAUGAUAAAUCUUAUGGCCACAUUCAUGGCACAGUUUGUUCAAAUGAUCUCAUAUUGUGCACAUGAUCUCAUAUUGUACACAAGGGUGCAUAUUGGAAUGGCAAACAAUGUUUCCUAAGGGAGUUCUCAUUUUCUUUGGACAAAAAAUCAAUUUUCCAUUUUUCGAGUGCCCGAAAUGAUGGUUUUUUGUGAAGAACCUACCAAAUAAUUGUUGCAAAAUUGGAUCAAAUAAUUUUUAUAAAAUACUAGGCCAUAUUUAAUGCACAGUUGACCAAAUGGUUGGGUGUAAAAAGUUUUGAUCCGCCUCUGGUGAAAAAGACAAAUUUCCGCCGUUUCAGCUGGAAGCGGGUCAAAUUUGAACUGCGCCUGCCUCAUAGUUUGCUAUUUAUUUUUUCCAAAAAUCAUUUAUAGGUACAAAAGUAUCUAUUUAAUCAGAGAAACACCAAAAAAUUCCAAGAUUCAACCACUAGCUAGGAACGGUCAUUCCCGCCGUUUUGACCGCAUUUUGAAACGGGCAUAAAAAAUUCAAAACAAUCAAAAAAUUGGAAAACCUUCACAUUGUGUCAUCAUAUGUGACCAAGUUACCAUAAAAAAUAAUGAACUUGUAAUAUAGAAAUUAUUAAAAAAAAAGUGUUCUCAGAAACGAGCUAUCAUGCGUGAAGAUUCAUGGCUUUCAAGCCAAAUGAUCAAUCUUAUGGCCACAUUCAUGGCAUAUUUUGUUCAAAUGACCUCAAAUUGUGCACAAGGGUGCGUCUUGCAAUUCCGAAAAUGUUGCCUAAGGGAGUUUUCAUUUUCUUUGGACGAAAAAUUCAUUUUCUAUUUUUCGAGUGCCCGUAGUGAGGUUUUUUUGUGAAGGAACUACCAAAUAGUUGUUGCAAAAAUGGACUAAAUAAAUUUUAUAAAAUAUUAGGCCAUGUUUAAUGCACAAUUGACAAAAUGGUUGGGUGUAAAAAAGUUUUAUCCACCUCUGGUGAAAAAGAAAAAUUUCCGUCGAUUCAGUAGGAAGCGGGUAAAAUUUGAACUACGGCUGCCUCAUAGUUUGCUCAUUAUUUUUUUCCAAAAAUCAUUUCUAGGUACAUAGGUAUCUAUUUAAUCAGAGAAACACAAAUGGUUUUCCAAGAUUCAACCACUAGCUAGGAACGGUCAUUCCCGCUGUUUUGACCGCAUUUUUGAAACGGGAAUAAAAAAUUCAAAAAAAUCAAAAAAUUGGUAAACCUUCGCAUUGUGUCAUCAUAUGUGACCGAGUUUCCAGGAAAAAUAAUAAACUUGUAAUACGGCAAUUUUUUUAAAAAAGUGUUCUCAGAAAUGAGCUAUCAUGCGUGAAGAUUCAUGGCUUUCAAGCCAAAUGAUCAAUCUUAUGGCCACAUUCAUGGCAUAGUUUGUUCAAAUGACCUCAUAUUGUGCACAAGGGUGAAUCUUGGAAUUCCAAACAAUGUUGCCUAAGGGAGUUUUCAUUUUCUUUGCACGGAAAAUUCAUUUUCCAUUUUUCGAGUGCCCGCAAUGAGGUUUUUUUGUGAAGGAGCUACCAAAUAAUUGUUGCAAAAACGGACUAAAUCAAUUUUAUAAAAUACUAGGCCUUGUUUAAUGCACAGUUGACAAAAUGGUUGGGUGUAAAAAAAAUUUAUCCACCUCUUGUGAAAAAGACAAAUUUCCGCCGAUUCAGUAGGAAGCGGGUCAAAUUUGAACUGCAGCUACCUUAUAGUUUGCUCUUUAUUUUUUCCAAAAAUAAUUUCUAGGUACAUAAGCAUCUAUUUACGCAUAAAUACAUGGUUUGGUGGUGAUACGUUGAGUUUUGGACGGUGGCCCAGGGCCCCAACUCCAAAGCGCGUAGUCUCGCAUGCCCGCGGCGUGGUCACCGCAUGACCGUGGCGUUGCCAUGCGUUCUGGGAAGCCUUGGCAUGUCUAGUAGGUUUGGCAGUCCCCAGGUAGAUGCUUGGAAGAAAAUAACAACAGAAGAAUGUCACGAGGAGACCGAACAAUGCUCAAACAUGAAUUAGCACCCAAGUGUUUGAUUAGUGGUACGGAAAAUGCACAUGGCCGAUGGGCCUGAGUUUUGGCCGAGGAUGAUCAUCUACUAAGGACACUAUCUUGGAAAAUUUGCAGCUCAAAUGGAGGAGCCUAGGUGUCACUUGCUUUGCAACGUACCACACUAGACAGAAAUAUGAAUGCUGAAGCCACACUCACAUGUAUUGUUAGAUGGGGCUCAAAUUUUGUGGAGAGCAAUGAUUUGGGAAUAUAGAAGAUGUGGCAAAAUUUUAGCUCAUUAGGAUAUGCCAAGCUAGUACUUCCUUCACAACAGUUCGAGUUGAACAAAAACUUUGGAAAUUUGCCGAGGAAGAUUUACCACGCAAAUGGAGUUGAAUAUUGUCAUGAGGCAAUGGUUUGGAUAGUAAAGAAUGCCCAUUUUUUUGGGAAUUUUGGGAAUGACAGAAAUAUUGGUUGCUUCACAACCUAGGGCAAAAAUUGAGACAUGGACAUGACACCUAGGCAAAACUGUUGAGGUGGCACCUAGUCAUAGCAAUAAGUACCAAUGCAUCCACGUUUACAACCUCAUGACCAUUUAUAUUGGUCGUAAUCAGGUAGAAAUAAGGUCAUUGGCCACUCUUGUCUGCUUUGUGACCAUUUGGUGUAUGCAAUUUCAGGGUUUGAGCCCUUCCAAGCGAAAUGGCCGUGGAUUUACGACCAAUUCAGCUGGGGUCACUAAGAGAAUGUCACAAGUUGACAUAUUUCUUGUAGUGUAGUUCCAUCUCUUGAAACUUUCUAGGGUUUCUCUAUUAAAUUUCCCUCCACAAAAUCUCUAUAAUACAUUAUCAGUUCAUAAAUACUAUAUUUACAAUAUUCCUUCCAAGGAAAUAUCUAUGAAUAUAAACUACAAUCUUUGGUAUUUGGUUUUUACAAUAUAAAAUUAUAUUUUUAUACAACUUGGACUAACAUUCAGAAAUGAAAAAACCAGUACCCGAAAGAAAUUACAUAAAAUCACGGGAAAGUCAUUUCAUAGCCAUUUAAAUAGAUGCCAGUUGUGCCAUGUUUCCUUCUCCCCACCAGUCUCAGGUUCUUUUACCUCAACCUUCUCACCGAACUUCAACGGCGGCAAUCAGCAAAACAACUUUGGUGGCAAAAUUGCCAGGGCUUGGAUAUGUAGCUUCUUAUCCCAAGAUCCAUGUUUGCAAUCUCGAACUUACAUUAGUUAAUGUUCUUUGUUCUUAGCAACAAAUUUGUAUCAAUCUGUCCUCCUAAAUGUUGUUCUCGAGCAAAAAAUAAAGCUCAGUCUCCUUGAUUGAUGUUAUUGAAGAUUUUCACUCCACUAUGCUGGUCCAUGACACUAAAUUAUGAAAGCUGACCUUGGAUACACCCCAAGAUUUGGUAUGUUAACAUUGUUGCACUGUUCACAAGUUAGGAUUUCUUAUUUUUCUCUAUACUAGUUUAUUUUGAUCUGAUAUGCAGUUAUCUGUUAACGGACAGAUGACAAGGUCAGCAAAGUGAUAUGCAGAUCCCAUUGUUAGUGAUGAUGAUAUUGUCAAAAUUUUAGUCCAUCAACAAAUUUAUUCGUUGUACUAGCAACAUAAACUUUAUCCUUGGUUAUCUAGGUAUUAGUUACAGUUCGAGAAUUAUAUGUUGAAGAAGGAUAUGCUUAUUUUAGGCCAUAUACUAUUGACACAAGCCCUAGUUACCAUGGUGUUGUCGAGAUUCUGAGUGAUGUAGAACAAUAUUAAAGUUGUAGUGAGGAACUGAUUCCAAUGCGUAAUUUAUCAACGAGAGGGGAACUGGAAUUCUGAACAUCUAGAGAGUGAUGUUAUCUUAAUACAGUUAAUAUAAUUCUAGUAUCCUUAGAUUUGUAGAUGUUUCUGAAUUAAUAGAUAGAAUUUAGUAAAAUAUUCUAGAAGUUUGAGAGUAAGUGUUACAUUAUCUCAAAGAUUUCUUUAAGGAAGGGGGAUUUGGUCUGAUAUGUUGAAAUCUUUUUCAUUUUCAUAGUGGAUCUUCGGAAAAAUAGACAUUAUUCUUUUUUAGUAAAUUGGUAUUUGCUUCCGAAAUUCCAAUUAUAUCAAUACUUUAUUUAAUUUACUCCUAUUUAGCUUAUAUUAAACUUCGAUUACAUUGCAAUAAAAUGUGUAGCGUAAUAGACUUGAUGAAAUAGGUUACUAAACUAGAAACUUUUUGAUGCAACUAUGCAAAUUCAUGUAAGUGACCCGGUAGAACUCUGCGUCCUUCGAUUCAAGGGAUAUUGUAGGUUUUCACAUCUUUUCUACUAAGAUUGUACUUCAAUCGACAAUGAUGUAAUCGACUGAUCUUCUAGUAAAUAUAAAUGUUGUUCAAUUAUAUUGAGCAAUCUUUACUAAUUCGAUAGUUUCUCAUCCUAUAAAUUCUUCUCAAUAUAUACAUAUAAUUAGUUUAUCAUAUCAGCGAGUUAACACUUCUAGUAUGCAUUCAGUUAGUAUUAAGUAUCCGUAAGUGGGUCACCAUGACAACAAUAUCAAUUAAUAUAAAUUGUUCAAACUCUUUAAUAUGGCAUUACAAUUCAAAUAUUGCGUCUAAUCAUUCUAAGAUACUACCAUUACAUAUAAUUAAAAUAUUCAAUACAAACUUAUAUGUGUGAACACACAACACCUUAAUCCUUAUUACAAAUAGUAAAUAUUUAGUUCAUGCAUUAGAAUUUUGAUCUACAAUUUCUACAUCAUUUGUUGAAGAUGUAAAGGCAGCUUUCCUUUAUUAAAGUCCAAUUUUUGUAACUGCCAUAACAUUAGUACUCGUGAAAUAGGAAAUGUGUACUACAAAAACAAAUGUUCAAUUAUGUAAGUAGCAAUAGAGAUGAUAAACAAAUUAGAGUGACACAUUAACAUUCAAAUGUACCUUAGUUAGUUUGUAUUUUACUUCAGUGCCAUCAAAGUACAUUGCUAUCAUCAGAGAUGCAAUUCCUGAAUCUUCCCUGCAUUUGCCAUAAUUAGAAGAAAUAAAUUAGUUUUACAGAUAAACGUGAAUAAUGGAAUAUACCUCUAGAGUGGUACGUUGGAUGAUGAAAUUUCUUUGACCAUCCAAGAUGAUGAAAGCAACUCUAAAUACUCAAGAACUUUUCGGUACAGUCAAACAUUAUGUUAUAUAUAAGCACAUGCUUCAUGCCUUUCUUUCAUGUAUGAUGCAGUACCAUUUGCACACUGUGGAUCUAAAGUGUUACUUACUUUCUCCUUCAUAUCCCACACAUAAGUUGACCAAGCCUGGUGCAUCGGCACAACAAUAUGAACUAAAAGUAUUUUGCACAAUGAAAAAUAUUCAUUAGAUUUGGAUAGGUUAAAACAACCAUAUGUCAACAUUUGAUUUAACUAUGUCAAUAAAUUUUCUACUUGACCGACUUGCAUUGUUACAAAUAGAACCUUCAUUUGUACAAGCAGCAAAUAAUCACAAUUAUAUUAACAGAUCAAACAAAACAAGUUAUUCAAAAAAUAUUACCUUAUGAUCUUGCUACUACAUUUCUGAGAACAGAAACUUGUUCAGAGUGCUUGGCUGAAUUUCAUUAUGUAACACAAUAAAGUAAGAUACAUAUCUACAAACAAUAAUUUUAGAAGACAAGUAUAAUACAUAACUCAUUUAUUUUGGUAAUACAUGUCGCCUUAUUUCAUCUCUCACAGAAAGCAUGGACUCCGGCCUCUUGGAGUGCAACACAUGCAAGUUUGGUUUGACAACAAGAAGACUUUAUCUAUGAAUUCAAUAUCUUCUCUAAUUAUGUCAUCCUUCUUCAUGUUUCGUUCACUAACUCUUUUAGCAUGCCUCAGUUUGAAUUCUUGAGUUAUAAAAUGUCGCACCUUCAAAUGUAAUUUAGAUCGGCGCCCUAAAAUUAACAACAUUUAGAAUUUCUAAAGUAUAUAAAUGAAAAUGUACCAUUUGUGGAUAAGUAUCUCUUAUAUUGUCACUAAACUUUCCAUUUGAUAUACGUUAUGGAUUUGUUGAAGAUAAGAAAAAUUGCACGUUCUUUCAAACAACUUCAACCCUGUGAUAUUUUCAUUGUUCUUCAUUGAUUCUUUAGGCAAAAUAUGACUGGCAUAUCCAACUGACUCAGAUUUCUGUGGAAUAAUUGUCCUUUCAGACUUUUCAACAACAAAAUUGUCAGACUUCUAUCAAUCAUACUCUGCAUAUAACAUACAACUUUAGGUCUUUCAAUCUACAAAGCAAUGUAAAAUAAAGUAUUCUUGAUUAAUUAUAACAAAAUUAAACACACAAAGCUACUUGAACAACACACUACAUACUAUGCAUGCAUCAUAUGUUGUGACUCGAUCUCUUGUUUUCUUACAAGAUGGAAUCAAAAGAUUUAUGUGGCGCCUAUCAUAGUCUACAAUCCUAGGCUGUUUGGUGUGUCUCUUUGGUACAAUUUGGUCAUGAGUAUCUAGGUAGAAUAUCGGCAUACAUAAUGUACAUGAUUAUGUAAUCAUCCAACAUUUAUUAUGGUAAUUGAGACGCACAUGAUAAUUAACUUGUAGAAAGAAGUGACAGCCAUAAAACUAUAUGACAGGACUAUUUGACUGAAUCUGUUGUUGUGCAUAUGUAAUAGCAUCGAGUAGAUAACUCAUUGCAUACUCACACUAGUUAUAUUCUCCUAUGUAAGCAGUCCUACAUAGAGCUUGUUGGGGAACGUAUUAUGCAAUUUAAAAAAAAAUCCUACGAUCACGAAAGAUCUAUCUAGGAGAUGCAUAGCAACGAGAGGGGGAGAGUGUGUCCACGUACCCUUGUAGACCGAAAGCGGAAGCGUUAGUUAACGCGGUUGAUGUAGUCGAACGUCUUCACGAUACAACCGAUCCACGUACCCUCCUCUCUUCCACUAAGGCCCAUGAAGGCCCAUUAAUCCCCGGGGGGUUCCGGUAACCUCCCGGUACUCCAAAAAAUGUCCAAACCUUUCCGGUGUCCGAACAUAACCUUCCAACAUAUCAAUAUUUAUGUCUCGACCAUUUAGAGACUCCUCAUCAUGUCCCUGAUCUCAUCCAGGACUCUGAGCAAACUUCGGUCAUCAAAAACACAUAACUCAUAAUACAAAUCGUCAUCGAACGCUAAGCGUGCGGACCCUACGGGUUUGAGAACUAUGUAGACAUGAUCGAGACACAUCUUCGAUCAACCAAUAGCGGAACCUGGAUGCUCAUAUUGGUUCCUACAUAUUCUACGAAGAUCUUUAUCGGUCAAACCGCACAACAACAUACGUUGUUCCCUUUGUCAUCCGUAUGUUACUUACCCGAGAUUCGAUCGUUGGUGUCAUCAUACCUAGUUCAAUCUCGUUACUGGCAAGUCUCUUUACUCGUUCCGUAAUGCUUCAUCCCGUAACUAACUCAUUAGUUACAUUGCUUGCAAGGCUUAAUAGUGAUGAGCAUUACCGAGAGGGCCCAAAGAUACCUCUCCGAUACACGGGGUGCCAAAUCCUAAUCUUGAUCUAUGCCAACCCAACAAACACCUACGGAGACCUCGAGAUCAUAUUUAUAAUCACCCAGUUACGUUGUGACAUUUGAUAGCACACAAGGUGUUCCUCCGGUAUUCGGGAGUUGCAUAAUCUCAUAGUCAGAUGACAUGUAUAAGUCAUGAAGAAAGCAGUAGCAAUAAAACUGUAACGAUCAUAAUGCUAAGCUAACGGAUGGGUCUUGUCCCAUUAAUCAAAUGACAACACAUGCCUAUGGUUAGGAAACAUAACCAUCUUUGAUGAGCUAGUCAAGUAGAGGCAUACUAGGGACACUGUGUUUUGUCUAUGUAUUCACACAUGGACUAAGUUUCCGGUUAAUACAAUUCUAGCAUGAAUAAUAAACAUUUGUCAUGAUAUAAGGAAAUAUAAAUAACAACUUUUAUCAUUAGUUACCUUGCUGUUUUUAUAUUUUCAGAUUACAAAAACCUAUAUCUACCAUCCAUAUUGCACUUGUAUCACCAUCUCUUCGCCGAACUAGUGCACCUAUACAAUUUACCAUUGUAUUGGGUGUGUUGGGGACACAAGAGACUCUUUGUUAUUUGGUUGCAGGGUUGCUUAAGAGAGACCAUCUUCAUCCUACGCCUCCCACGGAUUGAUAAACCUUAGGUCAUACACUUGAGGGAAAUUUGCUAAUAUCCUACAAACCUCUGCACUUGGAGGCCCAACAACGUCUACAAGAAGAAGGUUGCGUAGUAGACAUCAAGCUCUUUUCUGGCGCCGUUGCCGGGGAGGCUAGGUAAGCGGCAGUCACACCCCGUCAACUAAGCUCUUUUCUGGCGCCGUUGCCGGGGAGGUGAGCGCUUGAAGGUAUAUCUUUAGAUCUUGCAAUCGAAUCUUUUAGUUUCUUGUUUUAUCACUAGUUUAGUUUAUAAAAUAAAACUACAAAAAAAUGGAAUUAAGGAUGUCUCAUAUGCUUCAUCUUUUUAAUGUCUUCCGUGAAAAUAAGGAUUCCGAUAAUUGUACUCAAUUGCUAGAGGAAGAAUGCAUUAAAAUGUUUGGCACUAAAUCUUUGAAUGAUGAGCAUGAUUGCAAUGUUGUUAGUAUGAAUUCUUUGAAUACCCAUGAUGCUAAUGAUAUGCAAAGCCACAAGCUUGGGGAUGCUAUGUUUGAUGAAGAUGAUAUGUUUAGUCCCCCAAGUUUUGAUAUGCAAAUUUAUUAUGAUGAGCCUCCUAUCUAUGAUGAUUAUUGUGAUGACACGUAUGCUAUAAAGAAUAAUAAUAACCAUGAAACUUGUCAUCUUGAUUUUAAUUUUCCAUUGGAUUAUGCCUCACAUAAUAGUUAUUUUGUUGAGUUUGCUCCCACUACUAUUCAUGAGAAGAAAUUUGCUUAUGUGGAACGUAAUAAAAAUUCUAUGCUUGUAGAUCAUGAAAAGAAUGCUUUAGGUGCUGGUUAUAUUGUUGAAUUCAUUCAUGAUGCUACUGAAAAUUAUUAUAAGGGAGGAAUAUAUGCUUGUGGGGAUUGCAAUAAUAUCAAGUUUCCUCUCUAUGUACUUAAAAUCUUGAAGUUAUGCUUGUUUUGCUUUCCUAUGCUAGUUGAUUCUUGUUCCCAUAAAUUGUUUGCUCACAAAAUCCCUAUGCAUAUGAAGUGGGUUAGACUUAAAUGUGCUAGUCAUAUUCUUGAUGAUGCUCUCUUUUGCAGAUGUGACUUUGAGGUGGUUUCGUACCCUACAAUAAUCUCUUCGUUUGUUCUCCGCUAUUAGUGACUUUGGAGUGACUCUUUGUUGCACGUUGAGGGAUAGUUAUAUGAUCCAAUUAUGUUAUUAUUGUUGAGAGAACUUGCACUAGUGAAAGUAUGAACCCCAGGCCUUGUUUCAAUGUAUUGCAAUACCGUUUGUGCUCACUUUUAUCAUUAGUUAUCUUGCUGUUUUCAUAUUUUCAGAUUACAAAAACCUAUAUCUACCAUCCAUAUUGCACUUGUAUCACCAUCUCUUCGCCGAACUAGUGCACCUAUACAAUUUACCAUUGUAUUGGGUGUGUUGGGGACACAAGAGACUCUUUGUUAUUUGGUUGCAGGGUUGCUUGAGAGAGACAAUCUUCAUCCUACGCCUCCCAUGGAUUGAUAAACCUUAGGUCAUCCACUUGAGGGAAAUUUGCUACUGUCCUACAAACCUCUGCACUUGGAGGCCCAACAACGUCUACAAGAAGAAGGUUGCAUAGUAGACAUCAUGCCCCACGCCUGGGCGGGUGCGGCAGCAGCAGCAUCUGCACCUGGCCGCUCCUCCGGUGGAGUUUUGCCGGGGGAGGGGCCAGCUCCUUGAACUUCUCGGGGCCGUCUCCUUGGGUGGCUGGCGUCGGGAGGUUGCGGAAGAGGAAGAGGGCGGGUGGCAAGGCCUUCAACUUGGAGUACGCUGACACCGACGCCUUCGUCGCGUGUUUGGCGACCUGCCGCCUCGUCUUCCAGCUCCUUUCCCGGCACCGUCAACACCGGCCCAUCCUUGGGCAGCGACCGAGGUGUUCUCUUGGUGCUUUCUGCUGCUCGUAGCUCGCCUAGGCACCCCUUUUGCCCUUUCGCCUUCUUGACCUGCCUCCUGAGUAGAGGGACAAGAAAGGGAUUACGGUCAUCUCAUCUCUUUUUUAGUCUGUAAGCCUUCGGGCCUUCGUUAAAUUUAGAACUUGUAAUCCCCUUGCUCAUGUUUUUCAUUCCGUAUGAACUGUACCUGUGUGGGAUGUUUUUGAUGAAAAAGGGAUGUUUGCCGGGUUUUUCGUUCAUGGGUGAAACCUGUGACAAGGAGCGAAUCCUUGUUACUAUUUAAGAUAAACGUUUUUCGCCCGGCAACAGGCCUUGCCGCCCCCACUUCGCUCGACCAUUCUCGCGCCCUUGGUGGAGGCAGGGAUGAAGUGGGCUUAGGCUCCGCGGCUACAACCAAAUCCGGACCCAGGAGAUAAUCCUUAGGUAUAGGAAAAAGGGGAGCACGGUAGCCUGGAGAUAAAACGAGGUUUCACAUGUCCCAGUUCCAUACCGAAAUGCAUGACAGAGCAUGAAAGACUUAUCUAGAUCUGCAGCCUCCGGCAACCUUGUUCUGCCGCGGUUGGAUCCUUGUACUUGCAGCCCCCGGCAACUUUGGUUCGCCGGGGUCGGGACGCCGGUCCAUUCCCUUUCUUCCAAGUAGCUCAGCAGAAGUGCCCAUGUGCCCUGCGAACCAAAGGAGGGCAGAAGAGAACAGAGAGAUGCGCACUCGACCUCUAGGCUAGGGGUUAGUCGCCGCUAAGCACUAUCAACCCUAACCAAGGAAGAGACUCGACCUAGCAUGCAUGCUAUAACUUAGGGUGCUAGCGCUUCAUUUAUUUAUGCUCAGGGUCUGCGCCUGGCUUUGUACAGAGGGUUACAUGCCUCGUCAGCAAGGCUUGUACAAAAGGUGGCUUGCCGGGGGGCCCAGCAAGCCGCGCCUUAUGGGUAAAACUUGCGAAGAUGCUCGAUGUUCUAGGAGUUACUCACUAGGAUGGCAUCUUCGGUCUCCAGGCAGACUGCGCCGGGCCUGGUGACUCGUAUUACUCGAUAAGGGCCUUCCCACUUCGGCAUCAACUUGUUGGUAUUCUUGGCCGACUGAACGCGCUGAAGAACAAGGUCGCCUUCCUCAAAACUUCGGGCAUGAACCUUGCGGCUAUGGUAGCGGCACAAGGCUUGCUGGUAGCGUGCUUCCCUCACAGCCGCCCGAAGACGAUCUUCCACAAGGAGCAUUGCGUCAUCUUGGCGCAACUGCUCUUGCUCAAACUCAUCAUAAGCAAGCACUCGAGGCGACCCGUAUAUGAGUUCCGUGGGGAGAACUGCUUCUGCCCCGUAGACCAGGGCAAAGGGUGUCUGGCUGGUGGCUCGAUUUGGCGUCGUCCUGAUCGACCAAAGAACCGCCGGCAAUUCAUCAAUCCAGCGCCUUCCGCUCUUGCGCAGCUUGUCAAAAGUCUUUGUCCUCAGGCCUCGCAACACUUCAGCAUUUGCCCUCUCCGCUUGGUCGUUGCUCCGUGGGUGUGCCACGGAAGCAAAACAGACCUUGCUGUCGAGGUCUUGAAUGUAUUGCAUGAAGGUGUGGCUUGUGAACUACGUGCCGUUGUGGGUGAUGACUCUGUUUGGCACACCAAAACGGCAGACUAGUCCCUUAAAGAACUUGAUGGCUGACUGUGCUGUCACCUUCCUCACUGGUUCCACCUCUGGCCACUUUGUGAACUUGUCGAUUGCAACGUACAAGUACUCAAAGCUCCCAAUAGCACGGGGGAAAGGGCCCAGUAUGUCGAGCCCCCAGACCGAGAAUGGCCAGGAGAGAGGGAUCAUUUGAAGGGCUUGAGCUGGUUGAUGAAGCUUCUUUGAAUGGAACUGACAUUCUUCACACUUGGUUACUAGUGUCGUUGCAUCCUGGAGGGCAGUGGGCCAGAAGAAACCUUGCCGGAACGCCUUGCCGGCAAGGGCCCUCAACCUUAUGUGGGAGCCACAUAUGCCUCCAUGUAUCUCUGCCAACAGCUCCAGUCCUUCCUCCCGGGGGAUGCACUUAAAUUUCACACCGUUCGAUCUCUUUCUAUACAGGACGUCAUCGAUGAACUGGUAUAAGGCGGACCGACGGGCUACUUUCUCCGCUUCUUCCUGCUCCUCAGGAAGUUCCCCUGUCUGGAGGAAUCGGACGGUAUGCUGUGCCCAUGCCGGAGCCUGGGGCUCGACAACAAGGACCAAAGGCAUUUCCUCUGCCAUGGGAACGGCUGUCUCUACGGCCAGGGCGUGACGCCCUGCCGGAGCCAGCUGCUCCUUGGCAGGCACAGUGUCCACGGCAACAUCCUUGCCGGCAGCCCCAGGGGCUCGGCGGGAAAGUACUUGCCGAGGCCUGAUUUCCUCCGCUUGUUCUGCUCCAUUGAUGGUUCGACAGAUGGCUGAUUAACUGGAGCAAAAAGGUACCUGGUUCCACAGGUAGCUUGAAUGCAGCGCGCUUUGACAGGUAAUCGGUGAUCUCGUUCUCCGCUCGGGGAAAGUGCUCCGCUUGGAUACCGUCAAAGCGCUCCUCCAGCUUCCUCACUUCAUCUACGUAGGCCUCCAUCAACGAGCUCUGGUAAUCCUUGUUGACCUGUCUAACAACACGCUGCGAGUCACCCCUGACGAUGAGCUUUUUAAAUCCGAGGUCUGUCGCGAUCCUGAGACCGGCAAGCAGCCCCUCGUACUCAGCAGUGUUGUUGGUGGACAUCUCCCUGGGAAAGUGCAUCUGGAUCACAUACUUGAGGUGCUCCCCGGUGGUCACGACGGGCAGCACACCAGCACCGGCGCCUUGCAGCGAGAAAGCCUCGUCAAAGUACAUAACCCAGUCGCGAACUGUUUCCUUACCGGGGAGGGUAGUCUCCUGGAUCUCUUCAUCAGGCAUUGAGGUCCAUUCUGCAAUGAACUCCGCCAAGACUCUGCUCUGGAUCGUUGAGGUAAUUUAAAAUCUCAAACCAAAGCUUGACAACUCCAAGGCCCACUCCACAAUCCUUCCGGUCGCGUCUGGGUUGUGCAGUGUCCGUUGCAACGGGAGGCGGGUGACGACAGUGAUCUCGUGGGCUUGGAAGUAAUGACACAGCUUCCUCGAGGCCAUAAGGAGGCCGAAGAGAAAUUUCUGCACACCGGAAUACCUUGAUCUAGCCCCCUGCAAGAGGGAGCUUACAAAGUAAACCAGGUGCUGCAUCAUCUUCUUCUUCUGCACCACUCCGCUUAAUGGUGCGGGCUUUGUGCCGAUGGCAUCAGAUUCUGCGGGGGGCCUCGCCUUGCCGGCACCAGGUCCUUCCGGGGGAGCCUCUGACUUGUCGCCUAUCGGUCCUGCUGCUGCCACUGCCUCUUCGUCAACCUCCAUCUGCGCCACUAGCGCGGCACUGACCACUUGAUUCGUCGCCGCCAGAUAUAGCAGCAACGGCUCUUGUGGUUUAGGCGCGACUAGUAUCGGUGUAGAGGAAAGGUAUCUCUUCAGGUCUUGCAACGCCGCCUCAGCCUCUGGGGUCCACUCCAUAGGGCCCGACUUCUUCAGGAUUUUGAAAAAGGGGAGGGCACGCUCGGCAGACUUGGAGAUGAAUCGGCUCAUGGCGGCAGCGCAGCCAGUUAGCCGACGCACGUCCUUGAUCCGCUUGGGCGCCUCAAUCUGCUCGAUAGCCUUGAUCUUGUCUGGGUUUUCCUUGAUCCCAUGAUGCGACACAAAGAACCUGAGAAGUUUGCCGGACGGAACGCCGAAGACACACUUCUCAGGGUUCAGCUUGAGGUUGAUCUUGCGUAGGUUGGCAAACGUCUCUUCUAAGUCUUGCACAAGAGUUGCCAUGUCCUUGGUUUUGACCACAAUGUCAUCCAUAUAUGCUUCCAUAUUUCUAUGCAGCUGGGGUUCAAAACCAAUUUGGACCGCUCUUGCGAAUGUCGAACCAGCACUCUUCAACCCGAAGGGCAUCCGUAAAAAGCAGUACGUACCACAUGGGGUGAUGAAUGUUGUCUUCUCUUCAUCUUCUCUUGUCAUGAAGAUCUGGUGGUAGCACGAAUAGGCAUCGAGGAAUGAUAACAGAUCACACCCGGGCGUGGAGUCAACAAUCUGGUCGAUGCGCGGCAACAGGAAGGGGUCCUUAGGACAAGCCUUAUUGAUAUUUAUGUAGUCAAUACACAGCCUACACUUCCCAUUUUCCUUGCGCACCACCACCGGAUUGGCCAACCACGUCGGAUGGAGCACUCCUCUCACCAAACCUGCCGCUUCCAAUUUCCUGAUCUCCUCUGUGAUGAACUCCUGUCGUUCCAAAGCCUGCUUCCUGACCUUCUGCUUGACGGUCCGUGCAUGAGGACAGACAGCAAGAUGGUGCUCAAUCACCUCCCUCGGAACACCGGGGAUGUCGGAUGCUUGCCAUGCAAACACAUCGACAUUCACCCGCAGGAAGGCGAUGAGCGCGCUUUCCUAUUUGCUGUCAAGGGUGGAGCUUAUGGUGAAAGCUCCUCCCCGUGCCAUCCUUCUUGAUGGGCACCCUCUUGGUCUCUGGUGGCGUAGCUCUGCAUUUCUUGCUCUUGCCGGUGGAGCUCUCUAGCAUGUCCUCGACGGUAGCACAACACUCCGAAGAGGUGCGCUUGCCAAAGUGGGUGUGAGAGGUCUUGCCGGUCUUCUUCUUUCCUCCCGGGGCUUCAGCAGCAGGAGCAAGUGCCUUGGCAGCAGCUGCUGCGACUGCCUCCCGGUAGAGUAGGUCGGCGCAGAUCAGCGCGUCCUUCUUGUCGGAGGGGACGGUGAUGAUGUUCAUCGGCCCAGGCAUCUUCAGCGUGUUGUAAGCGUAGUGCGACGCCUCCAUGAACAUGGCCAGUGCCGGGCGGCCGAGGAUCCCGUUGUAGGGCAAGGGGAUCUCGGCUACGUCAAAGACAAUCCUCUCUGUCCUGUAGUUCAGCUCACCUCCAAACGUCACGGGCAACGUGACCUUCCCUUUUGGCUGGCUCCUCCCCGGGUUUACCUCUUGAAAUGUACUCGUUUCCUCGAGGUCCUCAUCAGGAAUUUGCAGCCUUUUGAUCACAACGGGUGACAUCAAGUUCAGACCGGCCCCGCCGUCAACCAGCAUCUUGUUCACCUUGAGGUUGCGUAUCGUUGGUGAAACCAACAAUGGCAAACACCCGACCGCAGUUGUGCGGUCAGGGUGAUCCUCGGCGUCAAAGAUGAGGGGCGUGCUGGACCACCUCAGCGGCUUCUGAGCGUCGAACGAGGGUUCCGCUGCUGUAAUCUCACGCGCCCACUGUUUGAGCUGGCGGUGAGAAGUAUGCAGCGAGGCGCCACCGUCGACGCACAUGGCCUCUAUAGCCUUCUGGAACUCUUGCUCACUGGACUCGUCGUCCUCGUUGUGAUCAUCAUCUUCUUGCUUCUUGUCGCGGCCCCGAGCGGGCCUCUCUUUUUGAUUAUCCUUGCCGCGAUAGCCUCCUUGGCCGCCGCGCUUCUUGCCGGAUCCCUCGGCACCAUCCUGGCCCUUCUCCUUGCCCGCCUCUCGUACUCAGCUUUUUGCUUCUCGGCAAGCAGCUCGACUUGUCGGCAGUUCUGGAGGUCGUGGCCCAUGGUGCGGUGGAUCUGGCAGUACUGGUUGUCGGAACUCCCUGUCUUGUCGGCGGCCGCUAAGGCCCGGCAGGUGGUGCACCCGGCAAUCUCCUUGCCGGGGUCGUCUGCCUUGGUCUUCUUGGCAGCGCCGGUGCUGUCGGAUCCCUCGACGGCAAGCACGAUCUUGCCCUUGCGUUUCCUGUUGCGAUGCCGGCCCUUCUUCGUCGGGGCGGCGGUGUCUUCAUCAGUAGAGUCGGUUUCCGCGUCGGCAUCCUCGCCGGGAUACUUCCUUCCCUCUUCAGCCCGGGCGCACCUGUCGGCCAGAACAUAAAGUUCGGCCACAUCCUUAACCUUGUUCAUCGCCAGCUCUUCGUGCAUCUUGCGGUUGCGCACGUUCUGAUGGAACGCGCUGAUCAGGGCGGCGGGAUGAACAUCGGGGAUGUUGUACUGCACCCGGCUGAACCUCUGGAUGUACUUGCACAGGGUUUCUCCAUCCUUCUGGGGAAUGAUAUGCAAAUCACUCACCUGGCCGUGAGCUUGGUGGCCUCAAGUGAAGGCACCAAUGAACUCAUGACACAGGUCUGACCAAGAGGAAAUGGAAUCCGCCGGCAAGUGCAUCAACCAAGACAUGACGUUGGGCUUCAAUGCCAACGGGAAGUAAUUGGCAAGCACCUUGUCGUCGUGAGCUCCAGCAGCUUGCAUCACGAUGGUGUAGAUGCUGAGGAACUCCGACAGAUGGGACUUGCCAUUGUACUUCUCACCAACGUCGGGCUUGAAUGUGCGGUGGGACGGCCACUGGAACUGCCGCAGCUCAUGGGUAAAAGCUGGGCACCCCACCUCGUAAGGUAAGCCGCCGGAGCUCCCCGGCGCUGGGUGGUCCAUAGCGGGUCCCGCCCGCUUGUCCGACUGGUGGCGCAUGUCGCGCCGGCGCUCGAUGGUGGUUCGAGCAUCUUCGUGGGCUCGUUCUCGAAGAACUUGGUGUUGGUCGCGGUGAGCCCGCAGGUCGGACGACGCUAUGGAGAUGUUAUCACAAGCGUCGUCACGACGGGCUGUCACCCGCGAUGGCUGGUGUGGAGGAGGAGUGUGCACCGUGACCACAGCACCCCCGGUCCUUCCACCGUCGACAUGUGGUGGCUCGAUGGAGCGCCGGCCCGAGAGCCCCACCGGUCGCGGAUCAUCUUUAUUGGCGAUGGCGACGAGGCUCUGGAUGAUGGAUCUCCACUCGUCGAGCUUCUCCGCAGCCGGAGGGAAGUCGAGGAGCAGCUGCGCGCGCGCCAAAGCUUCCGCUGGCGUGGGCGGUGGUUUCAACUAUGUGGACCGUGGCGCGCUUCGACUUCUAACUACGUUAGAAGGAGCUCUACCAUGGCCCAGCGGCUGCGUGCCAUUUUCGCCAGUACUUCGGCGAGCAUGCUAGACUCCUUCGUCCCGCGGACGAUGCACAGGGCUCUUCCCACAGCGGUGUCCGGGGUCUUCCGCGUGGUGAUGCUGCUCGUCGCGUGCACCGUGGGAAGAGCGCGCCAUGGGCGCCGACGUGGGCGUCUUGGAGGUUGCUGCGCCACCCGUGGGUGGCAGAACGACACUCUUGGAGGGCCCCGCGCCGCUUGUAGGGGGCCCAGCCCCGUCGUUGGAUCUGGCAGCGUGCGGCCCGUCGUCUGGUGCACGAACGACGCCGCUCCUGAGGCACUGACUGCCAGGGCGAUGCUGAUGCUCACGGACCGCGGCCCGGGUCCUGUCCACGACCGGCCCGCUGCUUGCCCGCACUGGCACGGGUCAUUCGGCUCCCGACAAGCCGAUCGCUGUGGCCGUCUUCUUCUUGGGAGCCAUGUCGAUGGAUAUCUGCUAGGCUAACUACUAAACAAGAUUCUCACAAUCGCGUACCCUACCUGGCGCGCCAAAGAUGUCGGUGAGAAACGACACCUAUGGGAUCACGAGAAUCCCUACUACGGUUGCCGGGGUGCAGGGUUGUGAGAGGAGCAGGAUUAGCAGUCAACACAAGGUUCGUUUACCUAGGUUUGGGCCGCGAGGAUGCGUAAUACCCUAGUCCUGCUUUGGUGGCUGUAUUUCAGAGAGUUCUUAGGCUCUCGAACUAGCUAUGGUGGAUGCGUGGUUUCAAAGAGCCGAAUCCCUCUCCAGUAUGCCAUGGGCCUCCUUUUAUAGUCGAAAGGGGCUGCCACAGUGGCACACAGGAGGUGGAAAGGCCUACAGUGCUAUGAGCUUAUCGCUCGUAUUACAGGACAACAUGCAUUUAAUGCAUCGCUUAGGUGUCCCCUUGCUUUAUUGGGGAUGGGAACGAGGCCCGUCCCGUCCGUCGCCGCUCUGCCUUGCUUCGACACGCGCCCGGGCCAGCGAUAAAUGCGGCGCCAUGUAGGCAGGCAGGCUGCUGAGGUGGCGCGGUGGUGGAGCCUUCACGAAGAUCUGCAUGCCGCCACGCAUGCGUGUGCUGAGUUGGCCUAGAAGCUGCAUGUUGCCACGCAGGUGCCUGUCCAGCUGGUUGGGCUGGCAGCUGCAUGCGAACAGCGGUGGAGGCUUGGUUGGUGCGGGCCUGGCAGUGGCCCCGCUGACGCCCUCGGCAAGGGCCUUGCCGGGUGGCCCGGCAAGGGUCUUGCCGUGGCGCGCUGUCGUCCCCGGCAAGGAUCCUGCCAGGGGUCUUGUGGCUCUCCUCGGCAAGGAUCUUGCCGAGGACCGUUGUCUUUUAAUCCUCAUAUGAUCUUGAAUAUUCCUUGUCUUCACAAAGAUCUGCAUGCUACCACAGAGGUGCCUCCUGAGCCCUAGUUCCAACGUGGUUGGUUGAGUUGGAACCCAUGGGCUCGAGGGUGGCUCACUCUGUUGAUGAGGACGAGCCGCCCCGGUAAGGGUCUUGUCGGGGCCGCUGAGGCUGCCCCCGGCAAGGGUCUUGCCGGGGGGAACCUGCUUCGCCUCUCUGUUUAUUUGUGUUCUUGGCCCUGGUGUUGCCUUGGCUGUCUUGUACUUCGGCUUUUCUCUAGCUUCCCUCCCUUGCCCUGCUACGGGUGGUCAUGGCGCGCGGCUCCGACUGCCCGUGCACAAGUUAAGGGGUACAAAGGUGUGCCCCUACUUUUGUACACCAACACGUGGGCACGCUUUCUCAGUCGCGUACGUGGCGUUUGGUGCACCACAAUAGGCAAUGUCAGCACACAUCUUGUUCCAAGAACCGUCCGCGCUCGUUAUUACCAUCGCACACGCUUCUUUUAAUUAGAAUGUGUGCUCGUCUAGCGGACACAUGUUGAUCUAUCUAAUUGUUUCGGUUUGUUGUGGCUAAUCGCAAACAAUUCAUCUGUAUGAAGUGUAUGCCAUCAAUCACACACACCUUUGAUCUGGCAGACCGUUUCUGUUCUAUUGCCUAAUCACAAACAGUUAAUCCUUCUGAAUUGUAUGCCCUCAAUCGCACACACUUUAUCUAGCUGUCUAUUUCUCUUGUUCCGCCUCAUCACAAACAGUAAAUCCGAUUGAACUGUAUGCCGUAUAUCGCACACGCCUUCAUCUGACUGCCCAUUUCUGUUCUUCUUCCUCAUCGCAACCAGUUCAUUGAACUGAACCGUAUGCCGUGCAUCGCACACGCAACUAAAAUCUGAACCUUGUUUGAUGCAUCUGUCAUCGCAAAUGUUUUGCACCUUUUUGACGGGUUUUUUACACCACAGUUUGCGAUUAUUCCAUCGCACAUAGUUUCUUCGAAGGGUCUCUGAUCGUAGUUGUGGCACCUCGGCUCAGAGCGACCGGUUUACCCUGCAUUGCCAGCCCAUAGACCCUGUCUUCUAGCAACACACAACAUCUUGGUAUAGAAAACAACCGCUUUAUUGAUGCUAGCGGAUCAGAGUUUAUAUUACAACAGAUGUCGAGGCCAAGCGUCACGCACAGUGCGGCUGAACAAUAUGUACAUUAUUUAGUGAACAUAAAGGGGCCUCGAUCAUGAAAACUACGCGGCAGCGGAACAACGUCGUAGCAAAAGCUCCAUAGCACAAGGACAACGAUGUGGACACGAUCUAGACCCGGACAACACUCCUUUCCAACGAGACUUUCCUGAAAUUUGGCAUGAUACGCCAGGUCAGUACAUUGAAUGUACUUGCAAGCUCACAACAGGCAUAAUCAUAAUGACAAACAAUAUCAUGAUAAUUAACCAAUUAAUAAUAAUGCAACACCAUAUAUCCAACAUGCUGUGAUCAUGCUCGAACGUCCCUUGGGACGGACUUACCAACCGUGAUCAUUUACGGAUCACAAACAAAUCACCAUCGUGGUCUUGACAAGAGUAACUCGUGAUCCUUACGGCGAUCACAACCACGACCAAUAUUUGGUCUCGAACAUCUUGAUGGCCUUUCCGCCAUCAUCAACAGUGAAAGUUCAUAACUUAGUGUGCAAAUUUAUUAAACGUUGACUCAUGGUGGGACCUACUACGAGGCGUCCGUGACCGUGGACUCGGCUAUCGAUAGAUUAUAUACUCUGCAGAGGUACCACACUGUACCCACACCAUGGAACCCAUGGCCUCGCACUCCCAUUUGCGUGGACCAACGGCAUUCCGACAAAACCCCUCCAUUGCCAUGACACUCUCCCGGCCACUCCGACCCAAUCCCCAACGGGCUAGUCUUGUUUGGCCCCGUGUCUACCAAAGACACAACGACCACCGUCGUGGCCAAAACGGUCCCACUCAGGGACCCGGUACCAUAAUCUCAACAACGGGCACACAAGAUUAUGCCUGCUUACCGGGCCAGGGUAAGCAUGCCCAUAACCUUCCCUAGUUGGAGGCACCGACCAGAGGCAUGUCAAUGGACCGAAUCAAGGCCUUCCCACAAAGGCAAAUGUGGUUGCACUGGCAAAAACUCGAUUCAGCGUCACCAUGACCGAGUGAACGAUAUAUUCAAGUUGAGUUAUAUUCAGGUUCAACUUAAAAUGAAAAUGACCGGUGUCAUAGCAUGCCAUGAAAUGCAAUACUAGACAUGCAUCACAUAUUAACGAAAAUGAAUGAUGUCAACCAUAUUCACACUAAGCAUAAACAUCAACAACUUAUAUUACUUUCCUGGUCAGGGUAACUCUCACUUUAACAAGAUAUUUUGUAGCAAGUUUUAUUAUUUUUCUCAUGCAAGAAAAUAACUUCGAUUAAUUUCUCAUAUGCAUAGCAAAAAUUAUACUACCAUCACCACAAGCAAAUCCUAAUUUCUGUACCAACCAAGUUAGGUUCAAACAUUCUGUAAAUCAAGCAAAAUGGCUAAACAAGCACUUAACAGAAUACUUUCUAGCAAAUUUUACUAUUUUAUUUGUGCAAGGAAAUAACUUCCACAAGUAGAUCUUAGCUUCUUUACCAACUAAGCUAGUUUAAAACAUUCUGUAAAUCAAGCAUAAUAACUAACAAACGCUUAACAGAAUAUAAAUAACAUAAUAGUUAUUUAAAUGCAUGGAUUAAUUAUUUCAUUCAUGUAAGAAAAUCAUAAAUAUUGAAAUGACACCAUGAAAAUGUUGCUGUGGCUUGCCUUAGUGCAGAUGAGGUUCACAAGCCUUCUGGUGAUCCUCAAGACAAGCCUCACCCUCUGAAAAUAAUUUUAAAUACAAGAAGAAGAUAUCAAGAACACUUCUGAAAAUCACCAGAAAAUCUAGGCAUCACAGAAAAAUCUCAUUUUUGGUGAGCUGCUAGAUUUCUUUGCAAAGAACACAAUGCAAACAUAAUCAAUUCAUUUGGACUUAUGGUUGAAGAGUUAUGGCAGUUUGAAGCUUUCUGUAAAUUCAAAUGAAUUUGAACAAAAAUAAAACAAACUUGGGGGUGACAUCGAAGGCGUAAAGCCCAGGGGCGCCACCAGUCGUACUGCUUCGCACACGUAUAGAGUGGCUGACUAGCGGGCCCCGCUAGUCAGGUGAGGAGGAGGGGGAGAAGGAAACAGAGGGGGUCGCGGCUUCGCCGGAGCUCUCGCCGGCGACGAGGGCUCCUUGGCCAAAACGAGAGGGAGGGAUUGAGAGAGGGGACGGAGGCGCACCUACCCGUACCCGUAGCGUAGCUAGGGGUGGUCGGACGGCGUCAGAAUCGACCUCGCAAGUGGAGGAAGAACUCGGUGGUCGCCGGAGAUGAGGAAGACGGCGAGCAGAGGCAACUCCAGGGGCUCCAAGAGGUCGGAAUAGCUUCACGGACGAGAGGANNNNNNNNNNNNNNNNNNNNNNNNNNNNNNNNNNNNNNNNNNNNNNNNNNNNNNNNNNNNNNNNNNNNNNNNNNNNNNNNNNNNNNNNNNNNNNNNNNNNNNNNNNNNNNNNNNNNNNNNNNNNNNNNNNNNNNNNNNNNNNNNNNNNNNNNNNNNNNNNNNNNNNNNNNNNNNNNNNNNNNNNNNNNNNNNNNNNNNNNNNNNNNNNNNNNNNNNNNNNNNNNNNNNNNNNNNNNNNNNNNNNNNNNNNNNNNNNNNNNNNNNNNNNNNNNNNNNNNNNNNNNNNNNNNNNNNNNNNNNNNNNNNNNNNNNNNNNNNNNNNNNNNNNNNNNNNNNNNNNNNNAAGGCGACGCAGCUCACGCGGCGACUGUUGGCGAACGAGGACGAGCACAGGAGCGAGGAGAAGGCGACGAGCACAGUGUGCACCGCACUAUUGUGUUGGCCGGACCGUGCCCAUGCUCGCUGCGGCGAGCUCCGGCGUCGGCGAGCGCUAGGGGGGAGUUAAUGGCGUUGAGACAAGGAUGGUGGCGAAGUUUGGCAUGCUCGGGCAGACGGGGGAAGCGAGCACGCGCGAACAGAGCGCUCGGCGGCACUCAGAGCGCGUCGACACGUAGGCAUGGCAUGGUGGACACGCGUGGUCACCGCGCGAACUCUUCCCUCAGACCAGCCUACGUCCAAAAAUCAUGUCUGGCUUGUUGUUCGUGGUGGUUUUGAAGUUUACCACGCUUUGGUUUGGAUUCAGGUGCAGUAGAGGAGUUUUUACAAGCCAAGUAAGUUUCUGAUCAGUAACUUUGAGAGGUUACUAAGGUCAAAUGGCUGGGAGUUGGGGGCUGUGCUUUGGAUGUUAGCCACGAUCUACUAAGGUGAAGAUGCACAAGAAAGUCCAGGCACAAUGGAGCAAGUAAAAUGGUAGUUGCUGUAGAAACCACCAUUUCUGUCCAGAACAUAAAAUAUUUUCUGUAGCAAAAAUAUUCCAAAAAGUGAUGAAAUAUUUUUGCUCUCCAAGGGUUCAAACAAUAUUUGUGAAUUAUCUCAGAUUUUUCUGGGCCAUAAAAAUUGGGGUUGCUUUGGAGCAUAUUGAACUGGCUAGGGUUUUUGAGAGGAAAAAUGAAUAUUUUUCAUUUAAGAAAAAUAUUCCAAAGAUUAUUUUUGGGGUGGAUCAGAAGGGAAAUGAUGAUUAGGGAGGGAAAUGAAGCACUUGGGUGCAAGACAAGGAUACCCAAGUGUUUAAAUCCAUAUGAAAAGAUUCAAAUAUUCCAAAUUUCAGAAUAACUCCAAAUAAAAACCAGGCAAAUAAGAGGGGGCAAAAACCAGGCUGUCACACACCUCCCCCACUUAGAAUGAAUCUCGUCCUCGAGAUUCGGUUGCUUGGGAAAACCACUCUGGAUAAUGAGCCCUUAGGAAUUCUUCCCGCUCCCAACUUGAUUCUAAUUCUAUGUGAUGCUCCCACUGAACCUUGUAGAAUUUUCUUACUUUACUGAGAGUGACCCUUUCCAUCUGAUCCAAAAUUCUAAACGGUCUUUCUUCAUAGGUCAAAUCAUUUGCCAAUUCUACCUCAGCCAUAGCAGUCCUUUUCUCAGGCGGGGAUAUGCAACGUCUUAAUUGUGAAACAUGAAACACGUUAUGCACGUCUGCCAAUUCAGCGGGUAGUUCCAACUGAUAUGCAAUAGUACCCACUCGGGACAUAACCGGGAAUGGACCAAUAAAUCUGGGUGCCAAUUUUCCACGGGUCUGGAAUCUCUUGACGCCUUUCAUAGGAGUUACAUGGAGGUAUAGGUGUUCUCCGGGUUCAAAAUUGAUCUGUCGGUGCUUUGCAUCAUAAUAACUUUUCUGUCGAGAUUUGGCCAAUUGCACUCUGUCUCUGAUUUCCUUAACUUGUUUCUCAGUUUGAGACCAAUUUAAAGGAGUCCGGCACUUACGGCCAUACAGAGCUUCAUACGGUGACGUCUUUAGACUGGUCUGGAAGUUGUUGUUAUAAGAAAACUCGGCAUAUGGCAAGCAGUCUUCCUAUUUAGGUCCCUGGGCUAAAGCACAGGCUCGCAACAUAUCUCCGAGUAUUUGAUUUACCCGCUCUGUCUGUCCAUCUGUCUGAGGAUGAUAAGCAGUACUAUAUUUCAGCGCUGUCCCCAAGGCUUGAUGGAGACGUGACCAAAAAGCGGACGUAAAUAGGGAACCUCGGUCGGAAGUGAUGGUUCGGGGUACUCCAUGCAGACUGACUAUUCUGGAUACAUACAGCUGUUCAAGUUGAUCUGCUCGGUAUCUGGUGCUGAUCGGAAUGAAGUGAGCAACCUUGGUUAAGGUGUCCACUAUGACACAGAUUGCAUCCUUCCCUCGCUGAGUCUUAGGCAGUCCUAUAAUGAAAUCCAUGCAAACGUCAUCCCAUUUCCACUGCGAAACUGGCAGCGGUUGGAGAAGUCCAGCUGGCUUAUGAUGUUCUGCCUUCACCUUGUUGCAUAUGUCGCAACAGGCCACAAAAUAGGCAAUGUCUUUCUUCAUUCCAUCCCACCAGAAUAUUUGUCUAAGGUCUUCAUACAUUUCCGUACCUCCCGGGUGAACGGAAUAUGAGGAUUCGUUUGCUUCCGACAAGAUUUUCUGCUUUAAGUUAGGCUGAUUGGGUACACAAAUCCUUCUACGGAAUCGGAGGGUACCGAAUUUGUCCUUGGAGAAAUCUGGGGUCUGCUCAGCCAUCGGGCUCUUGGCACGUUUUUGCAGCUUGAUGUCAGCUGGCUGGGCCCUGCGGAUCUCUUCCUCAAGUGUGGGGGUAACUUCCAAAAUAUUAGCGAGGCCAGCAUCCACUAUGACUAGGUUGAGCUGAGCGAUCUCCUCUUGGAGUUCGGGAGGCAAGGAUUUCAAUAUGACAUUUAAGCUGACAGGCUUUUGACUGAGUGCAUCGGCAACCACGUUGACCUUACCCGGGUGGUAAUUUAUUCCAAGAUCAUAAUCCUUGACCAAGUCUAGCCAUCUUCAUUGACGGAGAUUUAAAUCUGGCUGAGUAAAUAUGUAUUUAAGAUUUUUGUGAUCGAUAAAACUUUGGCACCUUUUUCCAAUCAGGUAGUGUCUCCAAAUUUUUAGCGGAUGAACCACCGCAGCCAAUUCCAAAUCACGAGUAGGAUAAUUUCCCUCGUGGGGUCGUAGCUGUCGUGAUGCAUAUGCUACUACCUUGCUGUCUUGCAUAAGUACGCAACCAAGGCCUUGCCUGGAGGCGUCACAAUACACAUCAAAACUGCGAUAAAUGUCUGGAAGAGUCAAUACAUGUGCGGUUGUCAGCCGUAUCUUUGGCUCAUUGAAACUUUUCUCACAGUCCUCCGUCCAUUCAAACUUCUUAUCCUUUUUGAGCAGCUCCGUCAUGGGUUUAGCAAUCUUGGAAAACCCUUGAAUGAAACGACGGUAAUAUACAGCUAAUCCGAGAAAACUCUGGAUCUGCGUCACGGUCGUGGGCGGCAACCAAUCGAGCACAUCCUUUACUUUGCUCGGGUCCACGGCUAUACCUUCGGCGGAUAGUACAUGUCCGAGAAACCCAACUUGCUUGAGCCGAAAUUCGCAUUUACUGAAUUUGGCGUAUAGUUGAUGGUCGCGGAGUCGUUGUAGCACUGCUCGGAGGUGAUCCUUGUGCUCUUCUUCACCCUUGGAGUAAAUGAGGAUGUCAUCGAUGAAGACUACCACGAAUUUGUCGAGGAAGUCCAUGAAUACUUUGUUCAUCAUACGCAUGAAGAAAGCAGGGGCAUUGGUGAGACCAAAGGACAUCACUGUAUAUUCAUAAAGACCGUACCGAGUAGUGAAUGCGGUCCUUUUCUAUGAUCUGCCAGAGUGUGUUGUGCUCGCCACUGCUAUUGUCGCAUGCCGAAUUGAUUGGAUUGCAGCAUAUUGCACCUCAAUUAUAUCAUCAUAUUGCAUUUGAUACAUAAAUGCUGGUUUGAACCACAUUACAAUGAUGUUAGAUUAAUGAAAAGUAGUAGUUAUAAAGCAAAUAUAACAAGUGCAUUACAAUAAUUAAUAAGCAUAUAUAUGCCGUCGCUCAUCACAUAAUUAAUGCUUUGACGAGUUGUUCUGGAUUGAAAUGAGUGUCAGCCAAUGUUCAACGCAUAGACUGUUAGUAGAAGCCGCACAUACUACAUGAAUUAUUACUUGAUGGAACGAAUGGGGACCAACGGGCCGCUUGCUCUAGAAUUGGAGAUUUGGCCUCUCAAAGAGCCCACAACAACCUCAGCGGUUAUGGGUAUGGUGGUUGGACUCAUACCCGGCCAGAUCCUUAGCCUCUCAUCCAGGGUUGCCUCCAUAAGGAUAUGCACGCCGUGAGGUCACUAAACGGCCUCUCUGCAAUCUUCUCAAUCGCUGGGAGAGAACACCUGGCCAUUGGAAUACUUCUAACCCAACUAACAUCGCCUCCCUGAGGUGCUCUGCCCGAUACUUUUCCCACGUUCAUAGAUAGUGCUUCUCCAUGUCCGCCGCAGAGACCCCCUCCCACAAAUCUUCUGGCGGUCCCAUCUGUUAUUUUUAGCAGACAAUAAAAUUCAAAAUAUAUACAUAUGGAAAAGAUCACAAGGUUAAUAUAUAAACAUAUGACAUGCGUACAUAUAAACUAGAGAUCACAAGGUAACAAGCAUUGUGUCAUGACAUAGUUUAAUGGUUUUUGACGGUUUGCUAGACUAGAAAGGAGCAUAUAUAUGGCCAUGUCAAUGUUUCAUUCUCAUCUCUUGUUCUUCUUGACUCUCUGCCCCGCAGCAGAAUAUCUCCUCUCAUCCCCUACUACAUGGCGAUUGAUGAUGUUCAUGAGCACCCUCUGAAAGCGCUCGUGCUCUGUCCAAAAGUGAGCUAGCUUAAGUUCCUUCUCAUUCUCUUUGGACCAUUUCUACAACAUUGAAUCACUCCUCAACAGUGGUCCUGCACGCACAUAGUCAUCCAUCAAGACCAUGGCAUAGUAGCCAGCCAUGUGCAUGGUUUCGCCUUUCGGUUGUUGCCGGCAAUAGAAGCUAGUGUUAAAUUUGUACUGUGAAUGUGGCAUGUUCUUACGGUCGGACUUAUGACACAUCAAAAGAGCAGCAUUGAUAAGUUUCUUCAGAUCGGUCCAUGGCUUCUUAGGGUCUCUCCUGGAAUCGAAGAAAUAAGCUCGGCCGUCUCGGGGAACAAUUGAACAAUGUAAAUUAAUAAGGUUGAAAUCAAAGUACUCAGGUGUAUAUGUGCAAGCAUAAAGAAAUGAACUUACGUUUCAAAGUAAGGCCAAUAGAAAUGGAUCGACAUUUCGCCAAAACAUAGGCACUCAUGUUAAUACCUGCAAAUAUAAGCCAACGAUACUACAAUGGAUCCUAGUUAAAAAAGAAAGAAAAAUUCGACAUGACCUAUGCUAAAAAGAGGACAUAACGAGUCCAGGAACUCGGCAAAACGGAAAUGAAUCGACGUUUUGCCAAAACAUUUUCGCCGAGGGGCCGCCGCAAUGACCCUAAACACAACUUUGACCAUACCAGAGAGGUGGCUCGCUUGGCGUCCGAAGGAGGCGCGAGGUAUCCGAUGUUGGCGGAGGAGGGCACAAUGGUCGGAGUUGUAGCCAUCGCGGAGGAGCUUCGCGGUGGCGGUGGCAGCGAGAUGCCUCCAGUGUUGGAGAAGGAGUCCAUGCCCGUGGCGGCGAGGAAGGCCGCGACGCAGCAUCGACGAAGGGGCUGACAACAACGAGGGGUGUGGCGGUGCCGGUGAGGAGGAGAGGCGGCAACGAGGGGAGCAGCAGCAGCGAGGAUGAGAGGCGGCAACGAGGGGCGCGACGCUGAGUCGGGCANNNNNNNNNNNNNNNNNNNNNNNNNNNNNNNNNNNNNNNNNNNNNNNNNNNNNNNNNNNNNNNNNNNNNNNNNNNNNNNNNNNNNNNNNNNNNNNNNNNNNNNNNNNNNNNNNNNNNNNNNNNNNNNNNNNNNNNNNNNNNNNNNNNNNNNNNNNNNNNNNNNNNNNNNNNNNNNNNNNNNNNNNNNNNNNNNNNNNNNNNNNNNNNNNNNNNNNNNNNNNNNNNNNNNNNNNNNNNNNNNNNNNNNNNNNNNNNNNNNNNNNNNNNNNNNNNNNNNNNNNNNNNNNNNNNNNNNNNNGGGCACGGCAGGGCGCCUGCUACACGUAAGUGGACAACACUGGCGGGCGGCCGACUGGACCGGCCACUACUACAAGUGUAUAAUAUGUACUUCCUUCGUGCCUGGUAAGAGUGCUUACCAUAAUUUAGCUGUGGCAAGCAACAGUCACACUCGCCACUGAUGUACAGAUAAGCAAUGGCGGGACUUUGUUACUGCUCAUCACAAUUAGGUCGCAUUACGCAUCCAGCUCUGAAACGGUCUACCAGUGGCGGGCACGUAUUCCUGCCUGCCACUGCUCUGUUACUAGCAGUGGCGGGUAAGCUUUGGUACCCGUCACUGCUAUAUUUCCAAAUUAGCUGUGGCAGGUGACACGUCUCGCCCGUCACAAAUUUGUGUUCACCUAUAAGCCAUUUUCUAUAGUGUAUGAUUUUCUUAGGUGACGGUCGAUGACAAGAUGACCAAGCAAUAAGAUGCAACCGGGUAAUGGGCAUGUUUAGGAUCUUGCCUCGGCAACUAUUUUUCUUGUGUUCUAGAAUGUCUGUAUGAUUGCUAUGGCGGGUUUACCUAGAUUUUCGUAGGUGUAGGAUCUCUAGAUUAAUAUUCGGGUUUAAAUACUGAAUCAGGUGCCAAGCUUGAUACUUAUAAAAACUAGAUCUCCAAAUUUAUAAAUAUCAUUUUAACCAUGUUUGGAAUUUAAACGUCAUUAUUCAAAUUAUAUGUUGAUCAAAACAUGAUAUUUAAAUUCUCCUGGUCUUUUGGGCCAGGGCCUCGACAAAGGCAUCAGAUUAGCCUAAUUCUUGGCAAGCUUUUUAAUCUAAAAAACAAAGCAAUUUUGGAUGACAUGUGUGAAAAUUCUUUAAAAAAAUUACUACCUUUCAAUGACUUCUAACAUAAUUUAAAUUUAUUUUCAAGUUUGUUUGAAUCUGGCUCAAAAUUCCGGGGUUACAAGUAUUUCAGACCAAACGAAUAUAGCAUCGACUCAGACUUAGCAAAACUGAUUCGGGAUAGCAUGUGGUGCCGGUAUAAAUAUACGGAUCAUGAUAUUUCCAUAUCUUCAACCUACCAGUAGGUGGUGGCAUUCAUUUGUUGCACGUAUCCUUUGUUGAUUAGAACUUGGCACCGCAGUUUGCUCCGUGAUGGCUAGUUAGUAAGUUAGUGAGCAGAUUGUUGUCUAGAGAAAAUUAGUGAAUUCAUCUAAUGAUGUGCUUCCGUCUGGCUGUCCGUCCGCCUCCAUUAUACGUACGGAGACCGCCGAAGAGCGCAAACAAGGAACAACUCAUUAAACCAUGGGAAUUUUACCUGCUGCUCUGGAGGACAGCCCACCACAUGCAGGCGUGGGGACACUCCGGCGCUAUAUAUUUCCCCGGCGCCAGUCCAUCAGCAGCAGCAGCAGCUCAAGCUUCCCCUGAUCAACUAGCCACCUAGCCAUCGUCGUUUCUUGCAUAGCCAAGCAAGAAACAACCUUCUUGGCCGAGAAUAUGGCGUCUAGGGCUGCGACGAUGGUGGCGCUGCUGCUCGCGGCGGUGGCGGCGACGUGCGCGCGGGCGCAGCUGCACGACAAGUCCUACAGCGAGUCGUGCCCCAGCGUGGAGGACGUCGUGAGGAAGGAGAUGGUGAGGGCGCUGUCACUGGCGCCCAGCCUCGCCGGGCCGCUCCUCCGGAUGCACUUCCACGACUGCUUCGUCAGGGUAAGCUGCAUUUGCAUGCAUCAGUAUCUGCCCGUACCCCGAUGUGUGCUGUGGCCUGACCAGUGACAUCCUCGCCCUCAUUGCCCGGGACGCAGUAUGGCUGGUGAGUAGAGUACUAGGCCGUUCUCUUUUGCAAAUGACACGGUAUAUACGUGUGGAAGCCAAAUUCUAAUGCUGCUCGAUCAUGGUUUCUCCAGAGCAAGGGUCCAUUCUGGACAGUUCCUCUCGGCCGGCGAGACGGCAGCGUGUCCAUUUCCAACGAGACCGACGCUCUGCCACCCCCGACCUCCAACUUCACCGUACUCACCCAGCUCUUCGCCGCCGUGAACCUCGACGCAAAGGACCUUGUCGUCUUGUCCGCCGGGCACACCAUCGGGACGUCGCACUGCUUCUCCUUCUCCGACCGGCUCUACAACUUCACCGGCAUGGAGAACCCCAGCGACAUCGACCCCACACUGGAGCCGCAGUACAUGAUGCGGCUAAAGAGCAAGUGUGCCAGCCUCAACGACAACACCACCCUCUUGGAGAUGGACCCCGGUAGCUUCAAGACCUUCGACACCGACUACUUCAAGCUGGUGAGCAAGCGGCGGGGCCUCUUCCACUCCGACGGCGCCCUCC